rnacentral:rRNA from 1 species
GAUGAACGCUGGCGGCGUGCCUAAUACAUGCAAGUCGAGCGAACAGACGAGAGUGCUUGCACUCUCUGACGUUAGCGGCGGACGGGGGAGUAACACGUGGGUAACCUACCUAUAAGACUGGGAUAACUUCGGGAAACCGGAGCUAAUACCGGAUAAUAUUUAGCUUCUCAUGAAGCAAUAGCGAAAGACGGUUCUGGUUUCACUUAUAGAUGGACCGGCGGUGUAUUAGCUAGUUGGUGAGGUAACGGCUCACCAAGGCGACGAUACAUAGCCGACCUGAGAGGGUGAUCGGCCACACUGGGACUGAGACACGGCCCAGACUCCUACGGGAGGCAGCAGUAGGGAAUCUUCCGCAAUGGACGAAAGCCUGACGGAGCAAUGCCGCGUGAGUGAAGAAGGUUUUCGGAUCGUAAAACUCUGUUGUAAGGGAAGAACAAGUACGUUAGUAACUGAACGUACCUUGACGGUACCUUACCAGAAAGCCACGGCUAACUACGUG